CAUAGGUUAAUGAGGCGAACCGGGGGAACUGAAACAUCUAAGUACCCCGAGGAAAAGAAAUCAACCGAGAUUCCCCCAGUAGCGGCGAGCGAACGGGGAGCAGCCCAGAGCCUGAAUCAGUGUGUGUGUUAGUGGAAGCGUCUGGAAAGGCGCGCGAUACAGGGUGACAGCCCCGUACACAAAAAUGCACAUACUGUGAGCUCGAUGAGUAGGGCGGGACACGUGGUAUCCUGUCUGAAUAUGGGGGGACCAUCCUCCAAGGCUAAAUACUCCUGACUGACCGAUAGUGAACCAGUACCGUGAGGGAAAGGCGAAAAGAACCCCGGCGAGGGGAGUGAAAAAGAACCUGAAACCGUGUACGUACAAGCAGUGGGAGCACGCUUAGGCGUGUGACUGCGUACCUUUUGUAUAAUGGGUCAGCGACUUAUAUUCUGUAGCAAGGUUAACCGAAUAGGGGAGCCGAAGGGAAACCGAGUCUUAACUGGGCGUUAAGUUGCAGGGUAUAGACCCGAAACCCGGUGAUCUAGCCAUGGGCAGGUUGAAGGUUGGGUAACACUAACUGGAGGACCGAACCGACUAAUGUUGAAAAAUUAGCGGAUGACUUGUGGCUGGGGGUGAAAGGCCAAUCAAACCGGGAGAUAGCUGGUUCUCCCCGAAAGCUAUUUAGGUAGCGCCUCGUGAAUUCAUCUCCGGGGGUAGAGCACUGUUUCGGCAAG
rnacentral:rRNA from 1 species